rnacentral:tRNA from 1 species
GGGGUCUUAGCUCAGCUGGGAGAGCAUCUGCAUGGCAUGCAGGAGGUCAGGGGUUCAAGUCCCCUAGGCUCCACCA